rnacentral:rRNA from 1 species
ACGCUUGAAGUCAGUCGUGUUGACCAGGGAUCAACCUUGCUUUUGCUUGGUGUACUUCCUGGUUGACAGGUCAGCAUCAAUUUUGAUCAUUGGAAAAAGGUCAAGGGAAUGUGGCAUCUUCGGAUGUGUUAAAGCCCUUGGUUGCAUACAAUGGUUGGGAUUGAGGAACUCAGCACGCCGCAAGGCCGGGUUUUAACCACGUACGUGCUUAGGAUGCUGGCAAAAUGGCUUUAAUCGACCCGUCUUGAAACACGGACCAAGGAGUC